GACCUUUCUUACGAGUGAAUGAUGAAUUGCAUGUUUUUUUACAUGAGAUUUUCUCGCUCUCAAUAAAAUCUGGUGGAAUCAUUGCAUAGCAUUUCAAUAUCUUCUUGUGGUUUCAAUUUUGUUUCCAAUUUUAUUUCAGAGACAUUCACAUCCACACUAAUAUUUUAAAGUGGAAUUUAUUGUCCAGAGUUAGAUCGUGUUUGGCCUAAACAAGAUGGCAGAUGGCCUGGGAUACCAUAUUAUCAAAUGGGGUACUAUGAUUCUCUGGUCAUGUGUCCAGUUAAAGGCAAAUCCUUUGGGAUUGACAGUUUCAGCAAUGGAUUUAAG